GGUAAAUCAAUUCUUAAGGGUUUAUACCAACUUCUUUCCAAUCUGCGUGAAGGUGCAAAGAAAUGUUCUGGUGUGCUUAAUGUCCAGUGCUUAAUUGUGAAUGUUGCAGUGCAGGAACCUUGAUGUAAACAUCAUUCGAACUCUUGUUUUCCGAACAAUGAAGAAGUUUGGCAGUGAAGACUAUGUUUGGCAGCCAAUGAGUUUGGAGUAUGACAUCCAAAGGACAAGAGGAAAUGUAAUCCGAUAUGGCAGGAUUUGCAUUACAGAAAGUGUCUUGUUGAAAGAUAAUUUGCUUUGUACACUUUAAUGAAGCAGUCAUUGUUGGCAAUGUAGGAUUAUUUAUUGCCUAUAGCUUUAAUACCAUAUGUAAUUCUAUUAG